rnacentral:tRNA from 1 species
GGGGGUAUAGCUCAGUUGGUAGAGCGCCUGCUUUGCAAGCAGGAAGUCUGCGGUUCGAAUCCGCAUAUCUCCACCA